rnacentral:rRNA from 1 species
AGUGAACGCUGGCGGUAGGCCUAACACAUGCAAGUCGAACGGCAGCACAGUAAGAGCUUGCUCUUACGGGUGGCGAGUGGCGGACGGGUGAGGAAUACAUCGGAAUCUACUUUUUCGUGGGGGAUAACGUAGGGAAACUUACGCUAAUACCGAAUACGACCUACGGGUGAAAGCAGGGGUUCUUCGGACCUUGCGCGAUUGAUUGAGCUGAUGUCGGAUUAGCUAGUUGGCGGGGUAAAGGCCCACCAAGGCGACGAUCCGUAGCUGGUCUGAGAGGAUGAUCAGCCACACUGGAACUGAGACACGGUCCAGACUCCUACGGGAGGCAGCAGUGGGGAAUAUUGGACAAUGGGCGCAAGCCUGAUCCAGCCAUACCGCGUGGGUGAAGAAGGCCUUCGGGUUGUAAAGCCCUUUUGUUGGGAAAGAAAAGCAGCAGGUUAAUACCCCGCUGUUCUGACGGUACCCAAAGAAUAAGCACCGGCUAACUUCGUG